rnacentral:rRNA from 1 species
AACUUUCAACAACGGAUCUCUUGGCUCUCGCAUCGAUGAAGAACGCAGCGAAAUGCGAUAAGUAAUGUGAAUUGCAGAUCUUCAGUGAAUCAUCGAAUCUUUGAACGCACCUUGCGCCCCUUGGUAUUCCGAGGGGCGUGCCUGUUUGAGUGUCAUUA